GAUGAAGAACGCAGCGAAAUGCGAUAAGUAUUGUGAAUUGCAGAAUUCAGUGAAUCAUCGAAUCUUUGAACGCACAUUGCGCCCGCCAGUAUUCUGGCGGGCAUGCCUGUUCGAGCGUCAUUACAACCCUCAGGCCCCCGGGCCUGGCGUUGGGGAUCGGCGGAGCCCCCCGUGGGCACACGCCGUCCCCCAAAUGCAGUGGCGGUCCCGCCGCAGCUUCCAUCGCGUAGUAGCUAACACCUCGCGACUGGAGAGCGGCGCGGCCACGCCGUAAAACACCCAACUCUUCUGAAGUUGACCUCGAAUCAGGUAGGAAUACCCGCUGAACUUAAGCAUAUCAAUAAGCGGAGGA
rnacentral:misc_RNA from 1 species